GUUAUUUAUUUCUCAUACUAAAACACUCAUAUAUAGAUGUGUGUGUGUAUAUAUAUAUACACACACACAUCUAUAUAUGAGUGUUUUAGUAUGAGAAAUA
rnacentral:miRNA from 1 species